rnacentral:tRNA from 1 species
GGGGAUGUAGCUCAGAUGGUAGAGCGCUUGCUUAGCAUGCGAGAGGUACGCGGAUCGAUACCCCGUAUCUCCA